CAUGACCUUCACUGAUUCUUCAGCCUUGCCCAGUGUUCCCCACUUGUUUUGCCUUUUGCUCUUUUGCUUGCAGACUUCAGGGGAAACAGAUUGAACAACUAGUAUUGGAAAUCUGCUAGGGACUAUUUGCAAAAUCAAGAAGGAAUAUCAGACUGAAGCGAGAAGAAGAGAAUAAUCUGUGGAAAUAUAUGCUAAAUAAAAGAAAAAAGAACCUAAUUCAAAACUGAACAGAUCAAGGGAAUAUGGGAGAAGGAAACACAGCACAGUGGACACAACAGUCAAACUGCUUUGAUCUGCUCUGCUUUAGGAACACAACAGCAGAGAUGUAGACCUGGUUCCUACAUCUCACCAACCGCAGCACUGAUACACAUAACAGASGAUGAAGCUCAUUCUAGCUCAUCCCUAAAUACAUUCUUAUGUCUUCCGUUGGUUUCCUUUUCCUUUCAAAAACACCUCAUCCUGAGCUCCCCUGCAGACUUUAAUCUAUCUUGCUUGUAUUUGCAGUGGGUUUACAUAUGAAAAAGCUAUAUAGAUAUAGCUAUCC